UACAGAGGGGGCAAGCGUUGUUCGGAAUUACUGGGCGUAAAGGGCGCGUAGGCGGCCUUCUAAGUCGAACGUGAAAUCCCUGGGCUCAACCUCGGAACUGCCUUCGAUACUGCGGGUCUCGAGUCCGGGAGAGGUGAGUGGAAUUCCUAGUGUAGAGGUGAAAUUCGUAGAUAUUAGGAAGAACACCAGUGGCGAAGGCGGCUCACUGGCCCGGUACUGACGCUGAGGCGCGAAAGCGUGGGGAGCAAACAGG
rnacentral:rRNA from 1 species